CAGAGAAUAGUUUAAGGUUAAAAUGUUAGUUUUGGGGACUAGCGUUGGGCGAUGUGCCCUUCUUUGA
rnacentral:tRNA from 1 species